UUUAGGUUGUGAUAUUCCAAUCAGCUAGAUAUUGGUAGUAUAGAGUACAGACUUGGCCAAGGGCUAUAUUCAGAAGGAAAAAAAAUUAUCCGUGGUUUUCCAUUGGCAGUAGCAAUUCUUUUAUCAAUAACAUGAUUGGAAGGUCUGCUGGGAAAAUAAAAGUUUCGAUUUUAGAUACUUGUGACUUCUUGCUACCUGGCACAACUUAUAACUUUAUUAGUAAUGCUCUAGAUUCUGCUGGUGGUGGCAUUGGGUCCAUGAUAAGGUAGAUGAAACUUUUCAUUACUACAUUGGUGUCAAAAUUCUGAAAUACACCACCAGGUCCUCAUACUGACUGUUUAUGUGAACAAACUGUCUAAGAUCUUGGAGUGAGUCAAUGAUUACACUGCAUUGAUCAUUGAACAAUUCUUAAAAUACAUCUACAGUAGAGGCAAUACUUU